AUUGAACGCUGGCGGAAUGCUUUACACAUGCAAGUCGAACGGCAGCACGGACUUCGGUCUGGUGGCGAGUGGCGAACGGGUGAGUAAUGUAUCGGAACGUGCCCAGUCGUGGGGGAUAGCGUAGUGAAAAUUACGCUAAUACCGCAUACGAUCUAUGGAUGAAAGCGGGGGAUCGCAAGACCCCGCGCGAUUGGAGCGGCCGAUAUCAGAGUAGGUAGUUGGUGGGGUAAAGGCCCACCAAGCCAACGAUCUGUAGCUGGUCUGAGAGGACGACCAGCCACAGUGGAACUGAGACACGGUCCAGACUCCUACGGGAGGCAGCAGUGGGGAAUUUUGGACAAUGGGCGAAAGCCUGAUCCAGCCAUUCCGCGUGCAGGAUGAAGGCCCUCGGGUUGUAAACUGCUUUUGUACAGAACGAAAAGGUUUCUACUAAUACUAGGAGCUCAUGACGGUACUGUAAGAAUAAGCACCGGCUAACUACGUGCCAGCAGCCGCGGUAA
rnacentral:rRNA from 1 species